CAUUUGCUUUGAAAUCCCUGAGUCUGUAUUGCAGCAGAGAAUCUGACCCAUGGACUCUUCCUCUGCCUGAGAAGCGUGCUCUGUCCCUCACAUCAGCCAAGCAAGAGAAAAUCUACAAAUAGUGCUGAGCUGACAGUUCUGCUGGUAGUGCCAGAGACAGGACAAAAUCCAGCUCAUUCCCCUGUGCUUGCUGCUUCAUUAGUAAAGAUAAGAUUUACAAAAGCACGUAGAACAGAUAAACUGAGCAAGAAUUCCUUCUGUAAACUCAGAAUUCCAACUUGCUUUUUAAGGUGUUUCCAGCAAACUCUGUUUCCAGAGUUCAGAGGAGAUGCUGUCAAAACAUUCUGUGUUUAUUGUAUUGCUCAGGCAGCAUGGAGAAGGUGAGGCCAGUGUUUUCCACAGCGUUGUCAUGAGCAAAGGGGAACUGCAGCAUCAUAACUGAAUCUCUCAGUGAGGUUGAAAACUGACUUGCAGCUGGUAUUUAUAUCAGGAUGGAAAUUAUCCUUUUCAUGUAAAUUUAUUUCUUUUCAUGUAAAGAUGAGUUCUGAAAUCUGUACUUAGCCAGAAAUAUCUGGGCAGUGUAAGGGAGGCUCACUGUAAGGAACACAAAGGUCUCUGCUGCAAGGCCUCUGUGCAUUGACCCACUUCUGAGUGAGCAAUGCUGCACCACUGUCAGGGGUUCGGGUUUCUCACUUGGAUGCUCUGAAACAAUUGAAGAUUUCUGCCCACUGUCAUGCUAAACUAGGUUUGAGAUUGAAUUGGAACGCUGGAUCAUGACUAUGUGCACUUAAAAGCUGAAUUCAACUCUCCAUCCAGGAACCUCCUCUAGGGCAGAUUAAUUACUCUAAUGGCACAAAGUGAAUUUCACAGGAUAACAGUUCAAAAGAGUAUUUCUUCAACAGCACAGGUGGUACAGUCACCAUCCCUGGAGGCCUUUAAGAAAAGGGCUCAGGGCAAUGGUCUAGUCGGCCAGGUGGUGUUUGGUCAUAGGCUGGAUUUAUCUCAGAGGUCUUUCCAAACUAACUGAUUCUGUGAAAUGCUCUUCACCUUGUCCUUACAGAUAACUCAGGAGCCAGAAGAUCUCGUUCUGACACGACUCAGAAAUGACUUGGGAUUCAGGCAGCUGGAAAUUGAAUUUGCCCCUCCAAGGAAGGACUUGGAUGUGCAUGUGGAAGAGCAAUGUGUAGGCAGUGCUGGUGUUGAGUCUUCUCCAGACAGCUGAGUGCAUAUGGGUGAGCACGUCCUCGGUGGGCAUGGAAGCUGCGGAAAGACAUCUGCUAAGAACUGGGCUGAGAUCUCCAACCUCUCCAUAUCAAUUGCUGAACAGAUGAGCUGUGUCAGACUUCCAAGGAAGAGAUCAUACAUUCAGAAAGCAGAACUGGCUGUGACCCUGGAGCAUUGGUGACCUUUGUCCAUCUGGAAAAGGUUAUGACUCCUUUGUUACUUGAUUUACUCAAGUAGGGAAAACAGAUAGAAAGGUCCCUAUUAGAGCAGCUCUGCAACAAGUGUGGUUUUUACUCCAGCUACAUCCCAUAACCACCACAAACAGGGGAAAUGGCCGGGAAAUUCCUCUUUCCCAAGAAAAGGAGGAGCCAGGCAGUUCUGGGCUCCUGUUUGCAGGUUGCUGUAGACUCCAGCAUGAUGUCAGGGGUUACAAUACAGUGUCACACUAGAAUAUGGCCAUCAUCAUGUUAGGAAAUAUCCAUGAACAAGUGGCCUUUUAAUAUUAACAAAAAAGGGUCAUGAGGCACAAGGGCAUAAAUUCAUGAUUAGGGCUGAGCACAUAAGGAACACAGAGAGGUGGACUUGGAAGAGCAUCAUUGAAGACCUCUCCAGGUAACUGGUUUUCAGCUGGGGAGCUGCUUGGAGCCAGCUGAGCCCAGUUCCUGGCUAAGCUAGUUGAGUAGGGCCCUGGAGAGAGAGAAGGGUAGGAACAUGUGGAGGGCACUUUGGAGUGCAGUUUCCCAUCAGUGACCUAACAGCUGCCAGGCAGGGAAGGGAAUGUUCUUCCCUCAACCCCUGCAUGGUCCUGCAGCUUUCCUUUUACCAGCUCUGGCACUUAUUUGGCCACAGAAAAAUUAAGUUCAGGUAGCAAAGCUGGCAGAGACCUCAGCUCCAUGGAAGAGGAGGAACAGAUUUUGCCUGGUUCACAGUGGCAAUAGUCUGGGAAAAGGAAUGGAGUAAGGCCAGCUCUGAGCAGAGUUGUGAGAGAGGCUGUGAUUUCAGUUCCCCUUGGGCUUCUCUUUGGAUUUUACUUUUAUUAUUUAUUUUAUUUUGCUUUUGGAGGCUUUUUUUCCUAAUUUAUUUUUCCAAUCAAAAAUAUUUUAUGUGACUCAAAGAGUCAAACGCUUUGCUUUAAAAGAAGUGAAUGUCAGAUCCUGUGAAUAACUGCUGACUUACCUGUGAAGGCCUUUUACUUCCCCUAGCAACUGUCUGGUUAAAGAGAGCUGUGCUGGAAAUAUGCUUUGAAAAUUUGUUUUCAGGAGAUUAAAGCCUGAUGGAAACACGCAGCUCUUGAAUGAAUGUCCUUUUGUUAUGCUAAGAUUGCCUACAGAAAUGCUCACAGAAAAUCUGCCACUACCGCUGUGUUUGUAGGGAAGGAACAAUUUAAUUGCAAUAAUAACAAGGUGAUUCUGGAAGAAUAAAUCAUGUCUGCAGCAAGCCAUGCCUUAAGUGUAGAUCAUUGUUGCAGUGACAUCUCCAAACCAUUACUCAUCACAAGAGA